rnacentral:misc_RNA from 1 species
UCCCCGUUACCGGGGCAGUCUGAAUAGAAAAAUACAACUAUUCACAAGGGUUGCGCUCGUUGAUGGACUUAACCAAACAUCUCACGACACGAGCUGACGACGGCCAUGCAACAGCUGUCACUUGGCUCAAUAAAGCACUUUCUGCUUUCACAGAAAUUCCAAGGAUGUCAAACCCUGGUAAGGUUCAUCGGUUAUCAUCGAAUUAAAGAACAUAAUCCACCGCGUGUGCGGCUCCCCGUCAAUUCCUUUAUGUUUUAGUCUUGCGACCGUACUCCACAGGCGGGAUACUUAACGCGUUAGCUUCGCUACUGAAGGGGUCGAUACCUCCAACAGCUAGUAUCCAUCGUUUACGGCGUGGACUAC